rnacentral:rRNA from 1 species
UAAUGCCGGAUGCUCCGACUCCUCGCAUGGGGUGUCGGGAAAGAUUUCAUCGGUAUGGGAUGGGGUCGCGUCCUAUCAGGUAGUCGGCGGGGUAACGGCCCACCGAGCCUACGACGGGUAGCCGGCCUGAGAGGGCGACCGGCCACAUUGGGACUGAGAUACGGCCCAGACUCCUACGGGAGGCAGCAGUGGGGAAUAUUGCACAAUGGGCGCAAGCCUGAUGCAGCGACGCCGCGUGCGGGAUGACGGCCUUCGGGUUGUAAACCGCUUUUGAUCGGGAGCAAGCCUUCGGGUGAGUGUACCUUUCGAAUAAGCACCGGCUAACUACGUGCCAGCAGCCGCGGUAAUACGUAGGGUGCAAGCGUUAUCCGGAAUUAUUGGGCGUAAAGGGCUCGUAGGCGGUUCGUCGCGUCCGGUGUGAAAGUCCAUCGCUUAACGGUGGAUCUGCGCCGGGUACGGGCGGGCUGGAGUGCGGUAGGGGAGACUGGAAUUCCCGGUGUAACGGUGGAAUGUGUAGAUAUCGGAAAGAGAACA